AUGAGGAAGCCGAGGACACCUGAAUUGUGAUGAAUCUUCGCUUCGCCGA
rnacentral:snoRNA from 1 species